CUAGAACCAUACACAGCUCUAUUCGGAAGCCAACAGCCAACCAUAUGGCCUUGUAUCUCCAAGAAACUCAAAGGAGAAAAGUUCUCCACUUUUGAGGAUUCGUGUGAUUUAACUGGACCCACUGGCCAUGUAAGGUUUCCACAUGGCUGGCUCUUUCUCAAUGCUCUUCAAAAAGAC